rnacentral:rRNA from 1 species
UACGAAGGGGGCUAGCGUUGCUCGGAAUCACUGGGCGUAAAGCGCACGUAGGCGGACUCUUAAGUCGGUGGUGAAAUCCUGGAGCUCAACUCCAGAACUGCCUUCGAUACUGAGAGUCUCGAGUCCGGGAGAGGUGAGUGGAACUGCGAGUGUAGAGGUGAAAUUCGUAGAUAUUCGCAAGAACACCAGUGGCGAAGGCGGCUCACUGGCCCGGUACUGACGCUGAGGUGCGAAAGCAUGGGGAGCGAACGGG